rnacentral:lncRNA from 1 species
GGAAAACAGCAUCCGAGAUGGAGCUGUACAGAGGGAAGGGAGCAGCUGACACCUCCACACCGUCUCCCAUUAAAUACCAGCUCAUUUAAACAUAUCCCGUGGUGCCCUCCACAUCUGGAUUGAACUACAGCUGCCUGGUGUCGGCUUGCUGAAAGGACUGGACUGUAGCUGUCGGUUCGCUCCUGGUGUCUGCCUGCCUAGAGGACUGGUCUACAGCUGCUGAAUCAUAUUUGAUGUUUGCUACGGGACUGAACUGCUGCCCAAGAAGAUCAAGCUGAACAGAAACUUGGAACAGAAGACCGGAGCUUGCAAGUUGGUGAUGAGCACAGCCCAGCAUCUUACCAGCUGGUUGUAACUCUACACCAUUGCCCUUUGCCCACAAAAAGAAAACCUGAGUCUGUGACUACUUGUCUUUUAGAUGCUUUGAGGCAGAGUGACCAUGGGGACUUUCAGUGGCCUGGCCGCGGGUCCUCUUCUAGGCACCUUUUGUCGUGCCGUGUUCCCAAGCAUGGAAACCUAUUGGAAACCUUAGUCUGGAUGCACAGUGGAUGUGGAGGACACAUUAGCUCUCUCAUUUCCAUUCUCAUCAUUAAUGUUUAAUUGCACAACACCAGAGGCAGACUAUGUACCUAGCACCGAAACCUUGUCACCUCUAUUAAUUAAAACAGGCUUAUGGAAUAUGAAA